rnacentral:tRNA from 1 species
CCCCUGAUGGUGUAGUUGGUUUAUCACGUUCGACUGUAAAUCGAAAGGUCCGCGGAUCGACUCCGCGUCGGGGGA